GGGUCAACCUCUUCNGCUGUGCGCUCUGGCUGCACGCUGUUGAACCUCUCACACCUGUGCACCAUUCGGUCGCGGUUUGGUUAAACAAGCCGCUUCCGCCUUUUACAUCAAACUACAGUUAAGAAUGUCUAAACUAUAAAGUAACAACUUUCAACAACGGAUCUCUUGGCUCUCGCAUCGAUGAAGAACGCAGCGAAAUGCGAUAAGUAAUGUGAAUUGCAGAAUUCAGUGAAUCAUCGAAUCUUUGAACGCACCUUGCGCUCCAUGGUAUUCCGUGGAGCAUGCCUGUUUGAGUGUCACGUAAACCCUCACCCCUCGCAAUGUAAAAAUUGCGAAGGGUGGAUUUGGAUUCUGCCGUAGCUGGCUGAUCCUGAAAUGCAUUAGCUUGCGCCUUUUAGAGUGCUCGGCAUGGUGUGAUAAUUAUCUGCGCCGUCGCCUCAGGCCUCUUCUGUGAGCGCUGCUUAUAGCUGUCCCUUGUGGACAAUAUUUAAAGCUUUGGCCUCAAAUCAGGUAGGAUUACCCGCUGAACUUAAGCAUAUCAAUAAGCGGAGGA
rnacentral:rRNA from 1 species